GAUCAUUUUGUUGAGUUUCUGCAAAAUCAUUGAGUUGCCUGCAGUCGUUAACCCAACUUUUUUCUUCCUUUUUAAGUUUCUUAUAAAAAAAAAUGUGAUGUAAAUGUAAAUGAACUAGCAUUGUAAUGCACAUUUUUUUUUUGGGUGUGAUGGUCGUGAAUGGUGGGGCUGAAUCUCUAUGAUUGAGUUGAAUUCAUCGUUC
rnacentral:misc_RNA from 1 species